rnacentral:lncRNA from 13 species
AGUGGCUCUAAGCAACAAAUUUUGUUUCUUGCUCACAAUACAUGUCUACUAUCAUCAGCUGAGGGCUCUGCUCUAGGUUUUCUUAAUCUGGAACCAUGUGGUCCUGGAUGCCUGGAAACUCUAAUGUUUGAAGAUUUGCUGAUUCCGUUGGUAGGAAGAAGAAGGCCUGCAGAAAUUGUCUGUCUCUUGAGAUACCUCUGGAUGGAUUCUACAAAUAUGUACUGCAUGAAGGUUUUUCACAUCUCACAUUGGCUAAAAGUUGAGUACUAUUCUAUUUCCUCAUAUUUUCCUAAGAUUUCACACCAGGCUGUAUUGAUGGUACCAUGCUCUUUGCAUGCCUAUAUUUUAUUUUUGUUAAUUAAAGGGAGAAGAAAUAGAUAACAAGUCUUUUGAAAUCACAGAAAAUUCAGACAUUUUAAAAGUUUGUUUUGGAAGGCAAAAAGUUGACAAUCACACACAUUACACAAACAAACGCACGCACACACAUACAUACACAGAGCACACAUCUUGUGCCUUCUGUUCUGACAAGCUAUCUUGCCCAGCUCCAUCCCACUGCCAGCAGCCUGGGACUUAGUGAGCUGGUGAGUGAAGUCAAGGACACCGUCUUUCAAACAAGUCUACCACUUGGCUUCCUCAAAUCUGUUUUCUUUUUUAUCUUUAAACUUUUACCUACCCACAAGGUUGUUGUAAGGAUCAAAAGAUAUAAUGCUUAUGAAGGUUUUUUUUUUUUUUUAAACUGUAAAGGACUAUACAAAUGUAAGAAGGUAAAGAAACAGAGAACUAUUCAUUUCCAUUUCCAACACAGAAAUGUACCUGUUUAUACUUUUCUUUGUGCUGAAGAUGUUUAGUCAUAAGUGGGACUGUGGGAAGGCUUUUGAUCACACAUAAUUUCUCAGGCACACACUGCUUAAAGAUACAUUUAUCUUUCUCUGACCUAAUCCCUCUGUGUAUUGCAAUUCAAUUGAAGUUUCUCACAGGCUUGUGCUGUUUUCACUCAUUUUUACCAUCAUACACUUUAUAGUCAUUCCUACAGACUGUAAUAAUGUAUCAGAUAAUUCUGGAACAAAAAAAGCCCUGGGAAUCUGCUUCAGGGAGAAUUGUUUUUCACAAAUACGUUCUAAUGCCAUUUCUCCAAGUAUAUUUAUCUUAUUGUUUACUUACUUUCAUGGUUUGUUUUGAUCAGCUCUCUGUCAAAUUGCUUUGUAAAAUCCCAGAACUCUAGAUCUGUGAUGUACACACCACACAGUCUCCAGUUGAUGUUUCUGGGGCAGCUGCCAAGUGGCCACAAGCAGGUGUUUGCAGGCUUCCUCACGAGAGUACCUGGCCAAACUGUGGUCAGAAAAGCUUACCCAGGAGCUACCAGCUCCUGGGAAUCUGGCUGCCUACCCAGAAGAGAUGGUGGCAUGUACUGGCUGGUUUUAGGCCCUGGUGACUUUGGGAGAGAAACUGAGUGAGAUACACAGAUCUUAAUAAAUAGGCAUCAAAGUAGUUAUACCUGUUGAGC